AGCGUAACUGUCUUCUGGAACUCCAACGGCAUUUGCUUGGCUCUCUCAAUUGUUGUUGCAAUUGAAUGUAACGUAAGAGUGCGAGUGCGAGUGCGAGUGCGAGUGUCGGCUUGAGUGUGAAUGUGAGUAUGAGUAGGCUAUGCCUCGGCCUCUCAGUGUUUGGCAAAAACGAUCGCAGCGCCAAUGUGGAACCGGCGUGACGCUGGCGUCACCGAUACCUCUGGCUAGCCUAUAAAAGCAGCGCAUUUAGUGUGUGUUUCUUUUCAGAGCGAGCUCAGUGUUAAUUUCACAGCGGAGUUGGCCAGCAGCGAGUGCGUUACCAGACCCGAACCAACCAGUUACCACGUCAAACUCAAAGACAAUACCACACAGGCAAUUAAAUAAACGAACAACAACAACGACAACGACAACGACAACGACCUGUGCAUAUCGUACAAAACUCAUAGACGGAAAUU